CCAUCAUCUCUCCAGCCCACAUAAAGCCUUUCUUACUCUGAAGUGAAAUACAAGUGUCUGAGGCACGGGACACAGAUUUUAGGUUUUCCCAGAUAACAUGUCUGAUGGAACAAAAAAGUCAUAAAAUGACACACUUUUCAAAUCAAUUGGCAGGUAAAACAUGGAUGGAGGUGGGUUACAGGGACGUGUGGCCAAUUCUGUGGUAAGCCUUAGAUGUUGUCACACAGCAUCCUUAGCCCUUACAUUGGUGGAAACUAAGGGCCCACAUUCCAAAGGAUUUACCUUUGGAAUUUACCUUUGUUAGGUCACACACAGAGAAGGACAAGAGUGGCCAUUACAUAGGCUAAAGAUAUCCCAACACAGUUGGGGGUCUAGACUUGCAACAUUUCAACCUCCUCUCAUCACUGAAGUUCUCAUCUGUCCCCCAGCCUUUCUCUAGGAAUUCUUUCUUGUUCCCAUCUCUCAGGACCUAUGACUGGAGACAGAGACCGUGCUCCAGACUUUGCAAUCAGAGAUGUUUUCACCCAAAGGUAAUGGACAUGCAGGACUUAGAAAGUCAAAGCUGGUCUCGGCUGGGGAGGUAAUCACACAGUCAAACUGGUUCAGCCAGACAGCCUGCCAAUUCUGGGUUUCUGCUCCGGGCUUCUAAAGGUGACCAAGCAAGUCCUCGGAUAAGAAUGCAAGUGAGCAAAAUAACAAAUUCUUCUGAUACGACCUUUUCUUUCUCUGAAACACGAUCUCACUGCCUAGCUCUUGCUAGCGUGAAACUCACUCUGUAGACCAGGCUAGCCUCUAACUCACGGAGAUCCGCCUGCUUCUUCCUCCCAAGCGAUGGGCUUUUGUUAGGAUAUAAUACCUUAGUCCUCAAAGUCUCCAGGAAGACAGACAGCAGAGGCCUGGACCUAGCUGUCCCUGGAGAAGCUGCAGGACAGGUGCAGCUAUAAUGGCCUGUGCAAGAAGGAAGCUUCCUGGAGCACACAUGCGGCCAGAAGCAUCAGAAGGGCCCACUGUGGUCCGGGCCAGCUCCUGUUACAAGUCAGAUGUUGGAGGGAUUUGAGAGAGUCACUUCAUUCCUUCUGACUCUCGUUGGUUCUAUCACACAAGCGGCUUCCAAACCUACCUUUAAGGUUCAGGCACAAAAGCUUCAGGAAGUCAAGCGUCUGUUUUCAAGAUGGGUAUAAAGGACCGUACUAGCUUGCAGAGAAAUGGCUGCACUUUCAUAGACACAGAAGAAGGCUCCUACCCAACAGGUACGGACAACUCCCCCUGCAUGCUGCUCAAAACAGCUAUGAAUGUGGUCCAACACAGAGCUAUACACUUAUUUAAAACAUGAGAGUGUGUGUGUGUGUGUACACACGCACGCAUACACACAUACACACAUGUGUUUCUGUGUGUGAAACUCCAGUUAGAAUUUUUCUUGUGUCACAGCACACAUGAGAAGGUCAGAGGUCAACCUGAGGAGUCAGAUCUCCUUCCACCAUGCAGUCUCAGGGAUGCUUGUCAGACUUGAUGGUGAAGUACCUUACCCACUAAGCCAUCUUACCAGUCCUGACAUCAUUUCCAUUGUGAACUUGGUAGAUGACACUCCACUUUCAGCUUUCCUUUUCCGUCACUGUCUAGUCAGGGGUCAGAUCUCCAAAACGAGCCCUACAAUCAGCCUUCCAGAGUUGGCCUGGAGUGCUCACCCUUCGCUCGCCUCGUUAGAAGAAUCCCAUGCACACGCUGAAGCCAGCUGAGAAUCCCUGCUAAGCUUUCGGGCAGCUGGGAGAAGCAAAGUUGGAUCCCUGCCUAAAUCCCUGGGAGAGCCCACGCUCUGUUGCCAGCACCUUGACUGGAACAUCAAUAUUGGACAUCUGGCCUCGGACCUAGGAAAGAACGUUGGUAUUGUUUUUGACCACCAAAUUGUGGCUUAGGAAACUAAUACCCUCAUUAAUCACUCCCUCUAUUUUUCUCAAAAGCAAUCUACACGAGCCAGUAUUGUCGCCAGCGUGUGAACAAAGAGAGCCGACUCCUGGGUAGAGCAGCACACUCCAAGGCAUAGGCAUGGGACAGAGCCAGGUAUGGACCACAUCCAUGUCACCUUCUAAAAAUGCCUUACUGGCUCCAACGAACCGACACAUGGCUCGUUAGCCUUCAGGAAGAAUCUAGAAAUGCUGCCCCAGUAACAUUCAGCAAGCAGAGGGAGCUCUCGGCCUGUCCAUCGACAGUGACACUGUCACCAUGGCGGCCCUCUACCCUCCAUCCUCUUCAGCAUUGAAGCUGUUACGGCUUUAAUGUAAGACAUCUCAGGUCCACGCGAUGGGACAGUCUCCACCUUGUGGCACUGCUUUGGGAGGUUGUGAACCGUGACAUGAUGGGGUCUGGCCGGAGGAUGUGGGUCACUAAAUAAACAGGCUUUGAGGUUUAACUAGUGGCUCCAAGUCAACUCCUCUGCCCUUGAUUUGCUGAGGUGUGAGCAAGCUCUUCCUGCCACAGAGCUGCCUGCCACCGCGACGCCUCCACCAUGUCUCCUAAAACAAGAUAAGCCUCUUCUAAACUGCUUCAAAGCCCUUGACAACUGCACCAGGCAAAAGAGCUAUGUAAGGAAAAGCCGUAGCUGGCCUUCCCUAAGGCAUCUCUCAUUUCACUGUAACCCCAGAACUGCUGCUAGCAUCCCGAAGUGUGCAUUAUGUGCCUACCCCGGUGGUGCUCCUGACAAGCUGCUACUAGAAACCAGACAUGGAGGAUUAUGGGUAAUGGAGGUUCUCAAUGAACACAUCACUCACCAUUCAAGUCUGAAAUACACCUCCACCUCCACACUUCACUAUAAUACCAACCCAAUUAAUAACGAUCGGUGGGAAUUAUGAAACAUCUGUUGAACAUACUGGUGUGGAGACCAGGAUUCUACUCAGGAAAGGAUGCAGUGACAGCUACCAGAAGGGCACAGUACCCUGUGAAAUAAUCACCGAAGACUUGAAAUGAUACUCAACUUGUGAUGCCUGAUCACGAGGGACAUGCAAAUCAAGCCACAAUGUGAUAUCAUUCCAGUCACUCAGACGGCCAUCAUCAGAGCACAGGGGGCGGGGUGGGGGGGAUGCGUGACAAGGCUGUGGAGAAAUCGGAGCCCUUGUUGGGCAACCUUGGAAACAGCAUGUGGUGUAUCAGGAAAUUCAGUAUAGAAGCCACUGCAAUCCGUCAAUCCCUCAUCUGGGUUAAGACCUGAAGGACGUGAAUGGAUACUUGUGCGCCUGAUUGAUAGAAGCAUUGUUCACAGAAGUCAACAGAUAGAAGGAUGGCUGGGAGAUGCCUCCCUCACACGCUGGGCCACGACUGCUCUUGCAGAGGACAUGGUUUUGGUUCCCAGCACCCACACUGGCCAGCUAACAAACCCCUGUAAGUCUAGCUCCAGGAAAUCCAGUGUUCUCUGCCGGCUUCUGAAGGCACCUACAUUUGUGUGCACAUACUCUCACAUAUAUAAUAAAA
rnacentral:sRNA from 1 species